UUUACAUUUAAGAAAGACCCGGGGGCUAUUAGUUGGUGGGGAGUACGGCUCACCAAGGCGAUGAUUGGUAGCCAACCUGAGAGGUGAUCCGCCCACAUGGGACUGAACCCGGCCCAGAUUCUUACGGGAGGCAGCAGUAGGGAUUUUCCGCAAUGGACGAAAGUCUGACGGAGCAACGCCGCCUGAGUGAUGAAGGUUUUCGGAUCGUAAAGCUCUGUUGUUAGGGAAGAACAAGUGCCGUUCAAAUAGGGCGGCACCUUGACGGUACCUAACCAGAAAGCCACGGCUAACUACGUGCCAGCAGCCGCGGUAAUACGUAGGUGGCAAGCGUUGUCCGGAAUUAUUGGGCGUAAAGGGCUCGCAGGCGGUUUCUUAAGUCUGAUGUGAAAGCCCCCGGCUCAACCGGGGAGGGUCAUUGGAAACUGGGGAACUUGAGUGCAGAAGAGGAGAGUGGAAUUCCACGUGUAGCGGUGAAAUGCGUAGAGAUGUGGAGGAACACCAGUGGCGAAGGCGACUCUCUGGUCUGUAACUGACGCUGAGGAGCGAAAGCGUGGGGAGCGAACAGGAUUAGAUACCCUGGUAGUCCACGCCGUAAACGAUGAGUGCUAAGUGUUAGGGGGUUUCCGCCCCUUAGUGCUGCAGCUAACGCAUUAAGCACUCCGCCUGGGGAGUACGGUCGCAAGACUGAAACUCAAAGGAAUUGACGGGGGCCCGCACAAGCGGUGGAGCAUGUGGUUUAAUUCGAAGCAACGCGAAGAACCUUACCAGGUCUUGACAUCCUCUGACAAUCCUAGAGAUAGGACGUCCCCUUCGGGGGCAGAGUGACAGGUGGUGCAUGGUUGUCGUCAGCUCGUGUCGUGAGAUGUUGGGUUAAGUCCCGCAACGAGCGCAACCCUUGAUCUUAGUUGCCAGCAUUCAGUUGGGCACUCUAAGGUGACUGCCGGUGACAAACCGGAGGAAGGUGGGGAUGACGUCAAAUCAUCAUGCCCCUUAUGACCUGGGCUACACACGUGCUACAAUGGGCAGAACAAAGGGCAGCGAAACCGCGAGGUUAAGCCAAUCCCACAAAUCUGUUCUCAGUUCGGAUCGCAGUCUGCAACUCGACUGCGUGAAGCUGGAAUCGCUAGUAAUCGCGGAUCAGCAUGCCGCGGUGAAUACGUUCCCGGGCCUUGUACACACCGCCCGUCACACCACGAGAGUUUGUAACACCCGAAGUCGGUGAGGUAACCUUUUUGGAGCCAGCCGCCGAAAGGGA
rnacentral:rRNA from 1 species